rnacentral:rRNA from 1 species
GAUGAACGCUGGCGGCGUGCCUAAUACAUGCAAGUCGAGCGAACAGACGAGGAGCUUGCUCCUCUGACGUUAGCGGCGGACGGGUGAGUAACACGUGGAUAACCUACCUAUAAGACUGGGAUAACUUCGGGAAACCGGAGCUAAUACCGGAUAACAUGUUGAACCGCAUGGUUCAACAGUGAAAGAAGGUCUUGCUGUCACUUAUAGAUGGAUCCGCGCCGCAUUAGCUAGUUUGUAAGGUAACGGCUUACCAAGGCAACGAUGCGUAGCCGACCUGCGAGGGUGACCGGCCCCACAGGAACUGAGACACGGUCCAGACUCCUACGGGAGGCAGCAGUAGGGAAUCUACCGCAAUGGGCGAAAGCAUAACGGAGCAACGUCGCGUGAGUGAAGAAGGUCUUCGGAUCGUAAAACUCUGUUAUUAGGGAAGAACAAAUGUGUAAGUAACUAUGCACGUCUUGACGGUACCUAAUCAGAAAGCCACGGCUAACUACGUG